GACUUCGUAGUGGAGUGGCUAGCACGCUGGAUGAGUAUUCCAGAGGUCCGUGGUUCGAUUCCAGGCGAAGGCG